GUCUGACGGAGCAACGCCGCGUGAGUGAUGAAGGCUUUCGGGUCGUAAAACUCUGUUGUUAGGGAAGAACAAGUACAAGAGUAACUGCUUGUACCUUGACGGUACCUAACCAGAAAGCCACGGCUAACUACGUGCCAGCAGCCGCGGUAAUACGUAGGUGGCAAGCGUUAUCCGGAAUUAUUGGGCGUAAAGCGCGCGCAGGCGGUUUCUUAAGUCUGAUGUGAAAGCCCACGGCUCAACCGUGGAGGGUCAUUGGAAACUGGGGAACUUGAGUGCAGAA
rnacentral:rRNA from 1 species